ACUCCUACGGGAGGCAGCAGUGGGGAAUAUUGCACAAUGGGGGAAACCCUGAUGCAGCCAUGCCGCGUGUGUGAAGAAGGCCUUCGGGUUGUAAAGCACUUUCAGUAGGGAGGAAGGUAGUGUAGUUAACACCUGCACUAUUUGACGUUACCUACAGAAGAAGCACCGGCUAACUCCGUGCCAGCAGCCGCGGUAAUACGGAGGGUGCGAGCGUUAAUCGGAAUUACUGGGCGUAAAGCGCAUGCAGGCGGCCUGUUAAGUCAGAUGUGAAAGCCCGGGGCUUAACCUCGGAAUUGCAUUUGAAACUGGCAGGCUAGAGUCUUGUAGAGGGGGGUAGAAUUUCAGGUGUAGCGGUGAAAUGCGUAGAGAUCUGAAGGAAUACCAGUGGCGAAGGCGGCCCCCUGGACAAAGACUGACGCUCAGAUGCGAAAGCGUGGGGAGCAAACAGGAUUAGAUACCCUGGUAGGAUAGCGUAGUCGUA
rnacentral:rRNA from 1 species